CAUCUAUCAGGGUCAAUAUAAAAAGGCGAUAGCCAGCCUGCAUCACUUAGCAGCUCUCCAGGGAUCCAUUUCUCAGCCACAGAUCACAGGGCAGGGGACCCUGGAGCAUCAGAGGGCGCUCAUCCAGCUGGCGACGUGCCACUUUGCGCUAGGGGAGUACAGAAUGACAUGUGAAAAAGUCCUUGAUUUGAUGUGCUACAUGGUACUCCCCAUUCAAGAUGGAGGCAAAUCCCAGGAGGAACCCUCGAAAGUAAAGCCCAAAUUUAGAAAAGGUACAGUGACAUGUUUUAUGACUAUUUUGUAAAAAUAGCUUUAGAAAGCCAGGCACGGUGGCUCACACUUGUAAUCUCAGCUACUCGGAAGUCGAGGCGGGAGGAUAGCUUUUGAGCCCAGGAGUUUGAGACCAGCCUGGGCAAUGUAGUGAGACCCCAUCUCUUAAAAAAUUUUAAAAAGAAAAGAAAAAUAGUUUUAGGACCCAAGGCUGAACAAUGUUUUACAGUUCCUAAUGAGAUAAUACUGCUGCAGGGCUUGCCAAAUUGUAUAAAAAGUUAAUCCCUUUCCAAGUUUUUCCUUGGCUCUGAUUUCAUGAGCAGCUGUAAAUGUCUUUCUUCCAAAGCUCUCUUCACUUC
rnacentral:lncRNA from 1 species